UACGUAGGGUCCGAGCGUUGUCCGGAAUUACUGGGCGUAAAGAGCUCGUAGGUGGUUUGUCACGUUGUUCGUGAAAACCCACAGCUUAACUGUGGGCGUGCGGGCGAUACGGGCAGACUAGAGUACUGUAGGGGAGACUGGAAUUCCUGGUGUAGCGGUGGAAUGCGCAGAUAUCAGGAGGAACACCGGUGGCGAAGGCGGGUCUCUGGGCAGUAACUGACGCUGAGGAGCGAAAGCGUGGGUAGCGAACAGG
rnacentral:rRNA from 1 species